rnacentral:rRNA from 1 species
UCAGGAUGAACGCUAGCUACAGGCUUAACACAUGCAAGUCGAGGGGCAGCGGGAAGUCAGCUUGCUGACUUGCCGGCGACCGGCGCACGGGUGAGUAACGCGUAUCCAACCUUCCCCUUAGUAGGGCAUAGCCCGUAGAAAUGCGGAUUAAUACCCUAUGUUCUUCGUCGAGGACAUCUGAAGUGAAGCAAAGGUUUACCGCUAAGGGAUGGGGAUGCGUCCGAUUAGGCAGCAGGCGGGGUAACGGCCCACCUGGCCGACGAUCGGUAGGGGUUCUGAGAGGAAGGUCCCCCACAUUGGAACUGAGACACGGUCCAAACUCCUACGGGAGGCAGCAGUGAGGAAUAUUGGUCAAUGGGCGUAAGCCUGAACCAGCCAAGUAGCGUGCAAGGAUGACGGCCCUACGGGUUGUAAACUGCUUUUAUGCGGGGAUAAAGUGCGGCACGUGUGCCGCUUUGCAGGUACCGCAUGAAUAAGGACCGGCUAAUUCCGUGCCAGCCGCGGC